rnacentral:rRNA from 1 species
GACGAACGCUGGCGGCGUGCUUAACACAUGCAAGUCGAACGGAAAGGCCCUGCUUUUGUGGGGUGCUCGAGUGGCGAACGGGUGAGUAACACGUGAGUAACCUGCCCUUGACUUUGGGAUAACUUCAGGAAACUGGGGCUAAUACCGGAUAGGAGCUCCUGCUGCAUGGUGGGGGUUGGAAAGUUUCGGCGGUUGGGGAUGGACUCGCGGCUUAUCAGCUUGUUGGUGGGGUAGUGGCUUACCAAGGCUUUGACGGGUAGCCGGCCUGAGAGGGUGACCGGCCACAUUGGGACUGAGAUACGGCCCAGACUCCUACGGGAGGCAGCAGUGGGGAAUAUUGCACAAUGGGCGGAAGCCUGAUGCAGCAACGCCGCGUGCGGGAUGACGGCCUUCGGGUUGUAAACCGCUUUCGCCCGUGACGAGGCGUGAGUGACGGUAAUGGGUAAAGAAGCACCGGCUAACUACGUGCCAGCGGCCGCGGUGAUACGUAGGGUGCGAGCGUUGUCCGGAUUUAUUGGGCGUAAAGGGCUCGUAGGUGGUUGAUCGCGUCGGAAGUGUAAUCUUGGGGCUUAACCCUGAGCGUGCUUUCGAUACGGGUUGACUUGAGGAAGGUAGGGGAGAAUGGAAUUCCUGGUGGAGCGGUGGAAUGCGCAGAUAUCAGGAGGAACACCAGUGGCGAAGGCGGUUCUCUGGGCCUUUCCUGACGCUGAGGAGCGAAAGCGUGGGGAGCGAACAGGCUUAGAUACCCUGGUAGUCCACGCUGUAAACGGUGGGUACUAGGUGUGGGGUCCAUUCCACGGGUUCCGUGCCGUAGCUAACGCUUUAAGUACCCCGCCUGGGGAGUACGGCCGCAAGGCUAAAACUCAAAGGAAUUGACGGGGCCCCGCACAAGCGGCGGAGCAUGCGGAUUAAUUCGAUGCAACGCGUAGAACCUUACCUGGGUUUGACAUGGAUCGGGAGUGCUCAGAGAUGGGUGUGCCUCUUUUGGGGUCGGUCCACAGGUGGUGCAUGGCUGUCGUCAGCUCGUGUCGUGAGAUGUUGGGUUAAGUCCCGCAACGAGCGCAACCCUUGUUCACUGUUGCCAGCACGUUAUGGUGGGGACUCAGUGGAGACCGCCGGGGUCAACUCGGAGGAAGGUGGGGAUGACGUCAAGUCAUCAUGCCCCUUAUGUCCAGGGCUUCACGCAUGCUACAAUGGCUGGUACAGAGAGUGGCGAGCCUGUGAGGGUGAGCGAAUCUCGGAAAGCCGGUCUCAGUUCGGAUUGGGGUCUGCAACUCGACCUCAUGAAGUCGGAGUCGCUAGUAAUCGCAGAUCAGCAACGCUGCGGUGAAUACGUUCCCGGGGCU